rfam:Heligmosomoides polygyrus genome assembly, scaffold: HPBE_contig0022240
GUGCCGGUGGUGUAAGGCGAACAUCGCUGCCCGGAAAGUAGAAGAUGCGGGUUAGAGUCCCGCCUGGCGCA